GGCUGGAGGAGGGGGCUUCCCCGGAGGAUGGCCGGCCGCGGCGCCCUGCUCCUAGGCGCGAGCUGAGCCGCCCUGGGCGCGGGAGGCGCGUCGCCAAGCCGGCGUAACGGGCGCCCCCGGCUGCCCGCGCGGCCCCCGUGCCCCGCGCCGCGCCGCGCAGGCCGGGCGGCAGGAUGGGCUGCAUCCAGAGCAUCACCUGCAAGGCGCGGAUCAGGCGCGAGAACAUCGUGGUGUACGAUGUGUGCGCCACCAUCGACCAGUGCCCCACGCGCAUCGAGGAGACCUCGCCCAUCGUCCUGCGCUACAAGACCCCCUACUUCAAAGCCUCGGCCCGCGUGGUCAUGCCCCCCAUCCCCCGCCACGAGACCUGGGUGGUGGGCUGGAUCCAGGCGUGCAACCAGAUGGAGUUCUUCAACACCUACAGCGACCUGGGCAUGUCGAGCUGGGAGCUGCCUGACUUGAGGGAAGGGAGAGUAAAAGCCAUCAGUGACUCAGAUGGGGUGAGCUACCCUUGGUACGGGAACACCACAGAAACUGUGACCCUGGUCGGCCCCACCAACAAGAUGUCCAGGUUCUCCGUCAGCAUGAACGACAACUUCUACCCCAGUGUGACAUGGGCAGUGCCCGUGAGCGACAGCAACGUGCCACUGCUCACCAGGAUCAAGAGGGACCAAAGUUUCACCACCUGGCUGGUGGCCAUGAACACAACCACCAAGGAGAAGAUCAUCCUGCAGACCAUUAAGUGGAGGAUGAGGGUGGACAUUGAGGUGGACCCUCUUCAGCUCUUGGGGCAACGGGCCCGGCUGGUGGGCAGGACUCAGCAGGAGCAGCCCCGGAUCCUGAGCCGGAUGGAACCCAUCCCCCCCAAUGCACUAGUGAAGCCCAACGCCAAUGAUGCCCAGGUCCUCAUGUGGCGGCCCAAGCGGGGGCCACCUCUGGUUGUGAUCCCUCCUAAGUAGAAGCCGACUGGCCUGGAAGUAUGUGGAGCACCCGUGGCGGAGACACGCAGUGGGGUUGCCAGGGAUGGCAGGAGCCAAACUGAAUUUCUGAGCCAAAGCAGACCUCCCGGUUUGCCCGCCUUUGCAGCCACCUGUGAAGAGCAGAGCUGCUCCUUGGGUGGUAGAACCAUAACCCUUAGGGAAAGCCUCUUCCUCUUAGGAAUAAAGAAAUCACUGCUUCAACAGACUUGCUGUGAACACCAUGCAAGGAGCCAUAUCUUAUUUGGAGCUGACCAGGAUGAUUCUUUUAUCCAAACUAUUGACCAUUUUCCUGUGAGAUGCAGGGAAUGGAAACGACACUAAACAGUGCCUGUGGCAAAUGCUGCUUCCCAACCAGUUAGAAGUGGAAGUGACACAUCCACACCAGGCGUUUGUCACCUCGGAGGACAAGGCACACCCGGCCAGCAGAACCGUGUGGCAGACUGAGGAGGGAAUGAGCGUGGCUGGUGGCUCCCAACCUGAGGCCCUGGACAACUGGUUUCCCAUAAACCACAUGCCAUCCUGCUUGUCUCCUCGCCACCCGCCCAUCCAGUGACCUGCCCCCUCCCACCCACCACGUGCCGGGCACCUCCCCACCGGCAGGGCUGCGGGUUGGCUCCUGGGGAGGUGUGUUGAGGGGGUUGUGCCUGCUGUAUGUUUCUGUGUGUAAAGGUUGGGUCCAUCCAGGUCUCCAGUCCAUGCCCAACCCUCUUAUGAAGCUGCCCAGGGUGAGGGCUGCUCAUCCGGCCUUCAGUUACCUGAGGUGGCCCAGCCCUGGUCCCCAAGCCCUGCCUUCCCUCCUACCCUCCCUGGUGGGAAACAGGGAAGGUGCGUCUCCCCUCUUUCUCCCUCUCAGUGUGGGUGGCCAAUGUCAAUACUCUGGAGAUGUCUCUGACCUUGGAGAGCUGGGGUCAAAGCGUCCUGCUUCCCCGUGCAGCCAGGCUGGAUGGCUGCAGUAGCCAAGGGUAUGGUGUUUGCCGCCAGGGGCAAGGGGCAAGGGGCAAGGGGAGGACCACCCUAAGGGGGCACAGGAGGUGUGCAUUGUCUUGCUCACUGGUGUCUUCACUGGCUUGCUCGCUGCUUUAUUUAUGGAAUAUGUAUUCAUUACACAGCGGAAAACCCAGUCCCAUCUCUGAAGUAUCCAGGCCCAGAACUUGUCUUCUUGGCCCCAUAGAGCACAGUGAGUUAUUCCACUUUGAAGCCACAGACAUGGGGGGAAACUCCCUCCCUGAGUCCAAACACCCACCCCCAACCAGACUUUCAACCAGAAGUGGGUUAGAAGCCACCAGCUGGAGAGGCUGUGAAGCCACGCCCAUCAGCGGAGCUUGACUGUCUAAACAGCAGCCCCAGGACUGCCCCCACCCGGCACCAGGCCUCCCCUCUCCUCUCCACGUGCCCGGGGGCUGGCACUCAGCUGCCCUCCGCCCAACUCAGAACUGAGCUGCCCCUGCUCCAGUGUCGCCCUCUAACGCCACCUGCACAUCAGAGACCCGCGAGCUCGGUGACCUCCCGCACCGUGGUCUCGGCAUGGAGCCCGGCACCCGUGUUUUAAGGAGACCCUAAUGGUUCUGCAGGGGGCUGGGCUGAGAGGCCUCUGGCGUCUGCUCUCCCACCUCGCCUCCCACAUCCUUCAUUCCCCAGCUUUCUCGGCUCCAAGAGUGGGAGAGGCCACUGAGAAAUGGCAGUGGUCUCCUCCUGUUCCUCAGCCUCCCCCCGCCGCAACCCCUUUCCCCCUCCCCCACCACAGGUCAGCCACCCUGAGCGGGUCCCUGAGGAGUGGCAGGUCCCACCACUGUCCCCUGAGCCUGGUGCUUGUGCCUGUGCCCAGCCUGGGACGGCUCUCGGACAAAGGCCACCAGCCUUGCUGGGAGCAGAGGCCUGCCUUUUGCCAGGUCCUCUCUCCACUCGCACCUCCCUCGGCUCCCAAAGGCCAAGGGUUCAAGGUCACUUCGGUGACAUUCAUGUCACCAAAUCCUAAUCCUGGUGAGA